rnacentral:lncRNA from 1 species
AGCAUGUGCCUCUGGCCCCGGCCAACUCCACAUGGCGGAAAGGAGCAAUGCCGGCCCCCGUGUGUGUCCCUGCACUAGAUCUGGGUGAGUCCAAACCAAAGCAAGCCCACUAGCCAGUCAAACCCGGCGGGAUACCGAGGAGAAAGCUGUUCUGACAGCACCUCAAAGACAGGAGCGUGGCCGUGCAUCCCUAGCAGGCUACAGACUGAGGCUGAAAGACAGGAGUGUGGCCGUGCGUCCCUAGCAGGCUGCAGACUGAGGCUGAAAGACAGGAGUGUGGCCGUGCGUCCCUAGCAGGCUGCAGACUGAGGUUGCAGCGAGCGCGCCAUGCAGUCGCAUUCCUCCUCCCAAAACCGCUGCACGCUGAUUGGGGGGAAAUGCAGACGUGUCAUUAUGCAGGUGCCACUGACAGCUGGGACUGCUGGACUGGCAGAAAGGAGACACAGCUGCCACUCACCAGUGAGAAGAAGCAAUACAGCCUGGCACCAAAUGUGAACUUUAAGUGCAAGUGGGAACACGAUGCACUUCAUUAAAAAAAAA